rnacentral:snRNA from 1 species
GUACUCGCUUCGGCGGUACAUAUACUAAAAUUGGAACGAUACAGAGAAGAUUAGCAUGGCCCCUGCGCAAGGAUGACACGCAAAAUCGUGAAGCGUUCCACAUUAUU